rnacentral:rRNA from 1 species
GACGAACGCUGGCGGCGUGCUUAACACAUGCAAGUCGAACGAAGAGCGAUGGAAGCUUGCUUCUAUCAAUCUUAGUGGCGAACGGGUGAGUAACGCGUAAUCAACCUGCCCUUCAGAGGGGGACAACAGUUGGAAACGACUGCUAAUACCGCAUACGAUCUAAUCUCGGCAUCGAGGGUAGAUGAAAGGUGGCCUCUACAUGUAAGCUAUCACUGAAGGAGGGGAUUGCGUCUGAUUAGCUAGUUGGAGGGGUAACGGCCCACCAAGGCGAUGAUCAGUAGCCGGUCUGAGAGGAUGAACGGCCACAUUGGGACUGAGACACGGCCCAGACUCCUACGGGAGGCAGCAGUGGGGAAUCUUCCGCAAUGGACGAAAGUCUGACGGAGCAACGCCGCGUGAGUGAUGACGGCCUUCGGGUUGUAAAGCUCUGUUAAUCGGGACGAAAGGCCUUCUUGCGAACAGUUAGAAGGAUUGACGGUACCGGAAGAGAAAGCCACGGCUAACUACGUG